GCUUCCCUUAAAUUUAAUCCAUGCUAAUCUAUUCUGUCAGUUUCUUGUCAUGAUGAGCUCUGUUUUCUGUGCGUAGGCUUUUGCGCAAUAAACCCAUCGUACACCAAUUGGAAUAAUUAUGGCAAUGUGCGUUAUAAACACAUGCCGGUUUAUUAAUUUUUUGUAAUGAAUAACAUAAUUAUUAAUAUAACAAAUUAUUAAGGAAACUAAUGUUCGUAAAAGUAAUUAUUAAGAAAAUUGUUCUCACAGAAAAGGUGGGGGUAAUUCAAACGCCCACCACUAAAAACUAGUAUACAUAUCAAAAGAAUUGCGCCAGAAAACGGGGAGGAGGGUGGGUAAACUUGAUUUCAGAUGGAGAUGUUUUGCAGCCAACGUGCAGAGCAGAAUGAACCGAUCCCGCAUUCUAGUUCAACUAAAUACCGCGAACUCCUAUCCGUUUUCCCGCGCAUUACAAUCAUGUGAUUACAAAAUUCCCGGGAAACCCCAGUAGGUUUCUAUCUAUUUAUAUAGUUCAAGUGCAGGAAGCAAUAAAAUCUUUGUUGGUAUGCCAAUAAUUCCUUUUUUCUAGUUAAAUGGUGGUUAACCUUAACCGCGUAGUUAACGCAUGGUGCUUUUAGAAGUG